rnacentral:snRNA from 1 species
GUGCAUACUUUGUAAGCCCAUACACUAAAAUUAGAAUGGCACAGAAAUGGUCAUAGCCCCUACACAAGAAUGACAAGACAAAAGUUCGAAGCAUUCCCUAUUUGA